AUUGAACGCUGGCGGCAUGCCUUACACAUGCAAGUCGAACGGCAGCACGGGUGCUUGCACCUGGUGGCGAGUGGAGAACGGGUGAGUAAUACAUCGGAACGUACCUUAUCGUGGGGGAUAACGCAGCGAAAGCUGUGCUAAUACCGCAUACGCCCUGAGGGGGAAAGCGGGGGAUCGCAAGACCUCGCGCGAUUAGAGCGGCCGAUGCCCGAUUAGCUUGUUGGUGGGGUAAAAGCCCACCAAGGCGACGAUCAGUAGCUGGUCUGAGAGGGCGAUCAGCUACACUGGGACUGAGACACGGCCCAGACUCCUACGGGAGGCAGCAGUGGGGAAUUUUGUACAAUGGGGGCAACCCUGAUCCAGCAAUGCCGCGUGAGUGAAGAAGGCCUUCGGGUUGUAAAGCUCUUUUGUCAGGGAAGAAACACCGGCUCUAACACAGUCCGGGAAUGACGGUACCUGAAGAAUAAGCACCGGCUAACUACGUGCCAGCCGCCGCCGUAA
rnacentral:rRNA from 1 species